ACGAGUCGAGUUGUUUGGGAAUGCAGCUCUAAAUGGGAGGUAAAUUCCUUCUAAAGCUAAAUACUGGCCAGAGACCGAUAGCGCACAAGUAGAGUGAUCGAAAGAUGAAAAGCACUUUGGAAAGAGAGUCAAAAAGCACGUGAAAUUGUUGAAAGGGAAGCGCUUGCAGCCAGACUCGCCUGCGGUUGCUCAGCCGGGCAUCAGCCCGGCGCACUCUUCCGCGGGCGGGCCAGCAUCAGUCCGGGCGGGUGGAUAAAUACCUGCUAAAUGUACCUCUCCUCGGGGAGGACUUAUAGGGCAGGUGUCAUACACCCAGCCUGGACUGAGGUCCGCGCAUCUGCUAGGAUGCUGGCGUAAUGGCUGUAAGCGGCCCGUCUUGAAACACGGACCAAGGAGUCUAACAUCUAUGCGAGUGUUUGGGUGUCAAGCCCGAGCGCGUAAUGAAAGUGAACGGAGGUGGGAACCCCUCGGGGUGCACCAUCGACCGAUCCUGAUGUCUUCGGAUGGAUUUGAGUAAGAGCAUAGCUGUUGGGACCCGAAAGAUGGUGAACUAUGCCUGAAUAGGGUGAAGCCAGAGGAAACUCUGGUGGAGGCUCGCAGCGGUUCUGACGUGCAAAUCGAUCGUCAAAUUUGGGCAUA
rnacentral:rRNA from 1 species